rnacentral:rRNA from 1 species
AGAGACAGCAGCCGCCACGGUAAUACAGAGGGUGCGAGCGUUAAUCGGAUUUACUGGGCGUAAAGCGUGCGUAGGCGGCUUUUUAAGUCGGAUGUGAAAUCCCUGAGCUUAACUUAGGAAUUGCAUUCGAUACUGGGAAGCUAGAGUAUGGGAGAGGAUGGUAGAAUUCCAGGUGUAGCGGUGAAAUGCGUAGAGAUCUGGAGGAAUACCGAUGGCGAAGGCAGCCAUCUGGCCUAAUACUGACGCUGAGGUACGAAAGCAUGGGGAGCAAACAGGAUUAGAUACCCCUGUAGUCCCUGUCUCUUAUAC